rnacentral:misc_RNA from 1 species
CCGGGAGAUGUGGUGUGGUCUGCAG